rnacentral:lncRNA from 1 species
UGCCUGUAAUCGCAGUUACUUGGGAGGCUGAGGAAGGAGAAUCACUUGAACCCGGGAGGGAGAGGUUGUGGUGAGCUGAGAUUAUGCCAUUGCACUCCAACUUGGGCAAUGAGAGUGAAAAUCUGUCUCAAAAAGAAAUUUUUUUGGUCAAUUCUGCUUGGUUUCUUUCUCACACUGUGUGCUUGUGCAUGUGUGUGCAUGUGUGCACGUGUGAGUCGUUGGAAAAUCAGUGGCAGACAGCGUGUCACUUCCCCCUGAACACUCCAGCAGCAUCUCCUAAACACAGGCACAUUCUCUGACAUAACCUCAGUGCUGCUCUUGGUGCUAUUAUUCUUUUAAGAAAAGAAUGGAAGGGAAAAUGUACUUGGCUUAGGAACGUGACAAAUCCCCAGUGAGGCCUGGCUGCCAAGAGUGAGAACAUGAGGCAGCCAGCUGGGAGAGUCUCCUUCCCUUGCUUUGAGGGAAAUCCGAGGCCGAGCUUGUAUUCACAUCAUGACUUGAGCUUUACUUUGCUGUGCUUUCCAGGUGAUUCACAUGGGCAGGCAUGAUUUCAUCUGGAUGUGGAGGACCAUCUCUCAGGGACUCUAAUUCCAGUGAACCAGUGAGAAACUCAGUCAUUUGUCUUUUGUUCUUUUUUUUCCUCUUUUUACUUCACUGUCAAGUUUUGAACAAGCAUAGACAUUGAGGAAGUCUCAUUCUUCUCAGACAGGCAGUCACUGCAUACCGUGUGGUUACAUCUUGCUGGUCAUCCAAAAAAAAUGCAAAUUCUUACCGGUGAAGAGAUAGCUUAGGGCCACAUUAGUAAGUGUCCCCACGUUAGUGUCCACAGUGCGUGUUUGGUGGAUGGUGAGGCUUGGUCCUUUGAAAGGAACAGCAAGCCCCGUGGGCACCCUUCGUGCACAGGAGUGCACGUUUAGGUCAUACUAGUUUUCGAGAACAAUUCCAAAGCGUGCCCUGGGACCUCCAAAACUACAUUGAAACCAGUGAGCUACAACACUCCAUCAUCCCUCCAAACAACAACGAAGAGUUGAUGAAGCAAUGGAUACUAAAGACGGAAAACUGCAAUAUGUUCCUUUUUUAAAGCUAUUUUCCUUCUGAAUAAUUUUUUUUUUUUUUUUUUUUUUUUGAGACAGAGUCUGGCUCUGACAUCCAGGCUGGAGUGCAGUGGCAUGAUCUUGGCUCACUGCAGCCUCAACUUCCCAGGCUUAAGCCAUCCUCUCACCUCAGACUCCCGAGUAAUUGGGACCCCAGGUGUGCGCCACCAUGCCUGGCUCACUUUUUCUAUUUUUUUCUAGAGACGAGGUCUCACUAUAUUGCCCAGGCUAGCCUUGACCUUCUAGACUGAAGCUAUCUUCCCCGCUUGGCCUCCUAAACACUUUGGGAGGCUGAGGCAGGUGGAUGACCUGAGGUCGGGAGUUCGAGGCCAGCCUGACCAAUAUGGAGAAACCCCAUCUCUACUAAAAAUACAAAAAUUAGCCGGGCAUGGUGGCCUAUGCUUAUAAUCCCAGCUACUAGGGAGGCUGAGGCAGGAGAAUCGCUUGAACCCGGGAGGCGGAGAUUGCAGUGAGCCGAGAUCGUGCCAUUGCGCUCUAGCCUGGGCUGCAAGAGCAAAACUCCAUUUCAAAAAAAAAAAAAAAAAAA